rnacentral:lncRNA from 1 species
GAAAUUGGUUCAGGAAGGACGGGUGAUGAAUACAGGAGGUGGAGAGAUCACGGUUGUUGUUUGGUGGAGUCAGACAAAGCAACAGUCUUCCACUAAAGGCAAGCAAUGAGCCCUACAAUGACAGAGGAAGAGGAAGACUGGAAUGAAGGGGAUCAAAGGAAAUGCAGAGAUGUAUGAUGAUGUUGAACUGAAACAACCCUCAAAACAUCCAUCUGCCACCUCCCAACUGAAUCAGUCCUCUAACAAUAUUUCUGUGGCCCCUGCUCUUCCUGCCCGACCAAGUGUGAAAGCGAGUGGAGAGCGCAAGUCAAUGCCCAAAGCAGAUGAUCUUUACGAUGAUACCGGAGUUCAGGACCUCAGUGCUGAUGAGAAUGACGAAGACUAUGAUGAUGUUUUACCUUUGGAGAUGGCUUUGCAACACCAAAAGCAAGAGCAAAAGCAAAAGUCAUGGCUUCCGUUCCGAUUAAGCAAGAAGGAUAGCAAGAAGCCUUUUAAGAAAGUUGAGGAAAGUAAAGAGCGACAAUCUUCAGCAAAGGCCUCCCCCGAAGAUGGCGAAGACAUAUAUGAUGACGUGGAUCAGGAAAUUGAAGAGAGUCCAGUCAGGUGAGAGAAUUAAUUGUUUUGAACUUCGUUGAUUUGCAACUUUGGUUUGUAAUGAAAUUUUGGAAUGUUUGCAGUGUAGUUUGGCUUUUUCACAUCUGCAUUGUAUCCUCAUUGUUUGCAAAAUGCGUAACAUUGGCUAUGGUUAUUAGAUCAAUCAUGUGGUACUGGAUUAUAUAACAAUGUUUUUGAAUUAAAUGUUUUUUUUUUUCAGUUCAAAAAAAAUGGAAAAGGAGAAAGAGGAAAAGGGGAGGAAAUUCAAGGUGAGGUCCAUUAUAUUAGGAUUUAAUCGUACUUACCUUAAAAGUGCCAAUAUAAUCAUGAAUUUAAUUUGCCAAUAUAAACAUGAAUAAUAAAAAGGGAGAUGUACCAAAGCAAUAUUACGGUAUACAUUUUCAUGUUUUCACGAGCAAAAGUAUUAACUCAUCAAAAGGCAAAUUUUGUUUUGCACGGUGGUCGUCAAGAAGCAUCGCUAACCCUCGGGGGAAUGGGGCG